CAGUCGCCACGGUAAUACGGAGGGUGCAAGCGUUAAUCGGAAUUACUGGGCGUAAAGCGGACGCAGGCGGUCUGACAAGUCAGAUGUGAAAUCCCCGGGCUUAACCUGGGAACUGCAUUUGAAACUGUCAGGCUGGAGUCUUGUAGAGGGGGGUGGAAUUCCAGGUGUAGCGGUGAAAUGCGUAGAGAUCUGGAGGAAUACCGGUGGCGAAGGCGGCCCCCUGGACAAAGACUGACGCUCAGGUGCGAAAGCGUGGGGAGCAAACAGGAUUAGAUACCCGAGUAGUCCCUGUCUCUUAUAC
rnacentral:rRNA from 1 species